UCCUAGCCCCGAUAGGAACGGUUACCCCGGAACAAGCUGGAGAGUUGGAGGGUUUGGUGUUGGAGGGCGUGGCGUGAGGAGUAUGAGUGGAUAGCGGGAAAUAGC
rnacentral:misc_RNA from 1 species